rnacentral:rRNA from 1 species
AACGAACGCUGGCGGCAUGCCUAACACAUGCAAGUCGAACGAGACCUUCGGGUCUAGUGGCGCACGGGUGCGUAACGCGUGGGAACCUGCCCUUAGGUUCGGAAUAACUCCCCGAAAGGGGUGCUAAUACCGGAUAAUGUCUUCGGACCAAAGAUUUAUCGCCUUUGGAUGGGCCCGCGUUGGAUUAGCUAGUUGGUAGGGUAAAAGCCUACCAAGGCGACGAUCCAUAGCUGGUCUGAGAGGAUGAUCAGCCACACUGGGACUGAGACACGGCCCAGACUCCGACGGGAGGCAGCAGUGGGGAAUAUUGGACAAUGGGCGAAAGCCUGAUCCAGCAAUGCCGCGUGAGUGAUGAAGGCCUUAGGGUUGUAAAGCUCUUUUACCCGGGAUGAUAAUGACAGUACCGGGAGAAGAAGCUCCGGCGAACUCCGU